CAGUCGCCGCGGUAAUACGAAGGGUGCAAGCGUUAAUCGGAAUUACUGGGCGUAAAGCGUGCGUAGGCGGUGAGUUAAGUCUGCUGUGAAAUCCCCGGGCUCAACCUGGGAAUGGCAAUGGAUACUGGCAAGCUAGCGUGUGUCAGAGGAUGGUGGAAUUCCCGGUGUAGCGGUGAAAUGCGUAGAGAUCGGGAGGAACAUCAGUGGCGAAGGCGGCCAUCUGGGACAACACUGACGCUGAGGCACGAAAGCGUGGGGAGCAAACAGGAUUAGAUACCCCAGUAGUCCCUGUCUCUUAUAC
rnacentral:rRNA from 1 species